CUUGCAAUUGCCAAGACCGUCUAGCGGACGCAAGUCCAUAGUCGUUGUUUUAUUCCAACCUGGUCUUUUCCGUCAUGGCUAUAUUGGUCAGCGUCAAUAAAUACAAUUAAACCUCCACGGCUUUGAUUGAAAGAUGUGCCCCAAAUCCCACACCCACUACAAAUGGCGCCCAACGGGGGACAGACGUGCGACGGAAGGACCGGUUGGCGGCUGGACCAGGUUCCCGUGGGGCGGCGAGGUUGGUACCACGUUCGUUGAGAACGGGCCCACGCUGUCGGAGCGGUGCUGGAUUCGGGAGCACGACAACCCCAAAGAGGCGCGUUGACUUCCGUCCAGCUCCCAGGACCGUUUCGCAGGACCCGCAGUACUUUCGGAAAGGACAGGUGGAUUGUGUAUUAGUUAUGCACUUUCUCGUAAGAGAAAUCCGCGUGUUUUUCAGUGACGUUUUGUUUACACCACGUGUCUUUUGUACUUUUUAUUGUGAAUCUCUUCACGAUUAAUUCAUGUAACUGUGCUCUGUAGACGUUUUGUUUGUGGAUGUGUUAAUGUACAUUUGUUCCCUUAAACAUGUGCGGUUGGAUUGAUCAAGUAUGUCUAUUGUAUCAACUACUUUUAUUUUAAUAUUUAUGGCGCACUACUUAUUGCAUGUGCGUAUAUGCACAAAAAUAGUUCCUUUGCUAUCAAAUGUAAACAUUACGUACGCAAACACGUCCUGUUUUUCAGUUCGGUGUUAUUGCAGUCUUUGAAAAUAUUGUAUUAAUUUUAAACAUUAUAAUUUUCUCCAAGCAUUUAAGAAACGUUUGUAGCGAAGUUCAAUUGUGUAAAUAAUUUUCAGUUCACGGUUUAUAAUAGUUUUGUAAUAUGUUGCCGUGACCGCUAGAUUUCAUGCACUUGCCUUAAAGGUUAAAUUACAAAUUAAAACCGGCAUGCAAUAGCAAAUUUGCAGUAUUGCCUACUUUUACUCCAUUGUUAUAUGUAGUAAUACUAGAACUAUUUUCAUUGAUGAAAUAUUUUGGCAAUUAUGAAGUAUUUCAUUAAUUCUUGCAAAAAUAGUGUUGUUUUUUAGUCUUUGACAUCUUGUCAUUGUAAAUUUCUAUAAGUUUAUAUACAUUACCAAAAUGUGCAGCUUUGUGUUUUAUUUUUUUAAAUUGACAUCAUGGUUAAUCUUGUCAAUUUUGCAAGUAAUAGAUUGGUGUUUGCAUUUUCUUUAAGUAAGUAACACUUAGUGUGUAACUUCAAAAUCAAUUUGUAAUGUUAUGUGCUGCAUUUUACUUAAACAUUUUCAAAAGAUCAAUUUUUCGAUUUAAAUGUUUUUUGAAUGACUUAUAUUUUAAAAUGUCUGGAGACAUUUAGAAGAACAGGGGAACUGUGUAGUAAGGUCAAUUUCUUAUCUCCCUUUUUACAUAACAUACAUUUACUUCUUUGUGGGAAUUUCGUUCUCUCGCCAGCGUUCGUUCACCCAUGAAAGCUCGUGCAAUUGUGGCCAUGUCCAAUCGUUAUUUAGAAUUGAUCCUAUGCCAGAUUUUCAUUGGUUAUUCAAAUGUACCUGUUUAUUUCAUUAUGAAAUUACUGACCACGCUUGGAUUUGCCAAGACCGUCUAGUGGACACAAGUCCAUAGUCGUUGUUUUAUUCCAACCUGGUGAGUUAAACAGUUUACAUUUAUUGAACAUUGUGUAUUGUUGCAUUAUGAAAUGUGUGUGAAUUAGUUUAAUUAAUGUGAAGUUCGUUUAAUUCAUAUUUCGUAGUAUCGUUUGUUUUGUUCUGUUUGUAAACUAUUGUCAUUGUUUUGUGUAGGUCUUUUCCGUCAUGGCUAUAUUGGUCAGCGUCAAUAAAUACAAUUAAACCUC